AACGAACGCUGGCGGCAUGCCAAACACAUGCAAGUCGAACGAGACCUUCGGGUCUAGUGGCGCACGGGUGCGUAACGCGUGGGAACCUGCCCUUAGGUUCGGAAUAACUCCCCGAAAGGGGUGCUAAUACCGGAUAAUGUCUUCGGACCAAAGAUUUAUCGCCUUUGGAUGGGCCCGCGUUGGAUUAGCUAGUUGGUAGGGUAAAAGCCUACCAAGGCGACGAUCCAUAGCUGGUCUGAGAGGAUGAUCAGCCACACUGGGACUGAGACACGGCCCAGACUCCUACGGAACGAAGCAGUGGGGAAUAUUGGACCAUGGGUGAACACCUGAGCCAGCAAUGCCGGGUAAGUGAUGAAGGCCGUAGGGUUGUAAAGCUCUUUUACCCGGGAUGAUAAUGACAGUACCGGGAAAAUAAGCUCCGGCUAACUCCGUG
rnacentral:rRNA from 1 species